ACGGGAGGCAGCAGUGAGGAAUAUUGGUCAAUGGGCGGAAGCCUGAACCAGCCAAGUCGCGUGAAGGAUGAAGGUAUUAUGUAUUGUAAACUUCUUUAGCCAGGGGGCAAUAAGGCGUACGCGUACGCCGAUGAGAGUACCUGGAGAAUAAGGAUCGGCUAACUCCGUGCCAGCAGCCGCGGUAAUACGGAGGAUCCGAGCGUUAUCCGGAUUUAUUGGGUUUAAAGGGUGCGCAGGCGGCACGUUAAGUCAGCGGUGAAAUGCAGGGGCUCAACCCCGGCACUGCCGUUGAAACUGGCGAGCUCGAGUACGGAUGAAGUCGGCGGAAUGUGAUGUGUAGCGGUGAAAUGCUUAGAUAUGUCACAGAACACCGAUUGCGAAGGCAGCUGACUAAUCCGCAACUGACGCUCAGGCACGAAAGCGUGGGGAUCGAACAGGAUUAGAUACCCUGGUA
rnacentral:rRNA from 1 species